GACGAACGCUGGCGGCGUGCUUAACACAUGCAAGUCGAACGGAAAGGCCCUGCUUUUGUGGGGUGCUCGAGUGGCGAACGGGUGAGUAACACGUGAGUAACCUGCCCUUGACUUUGGGAUAACUUCAGGAAACUGGGGCUAAUACCGGAUAGGAGCUCCUGCUGCAUGGUGGGGGUUGGAAAGUUUCGGCGGUUGGGGAUGGACUCGCGGCUUAUCAGCUUGUUGGUGGGGGAGUGGCUUACCAAGGCUUUGACGGGUAGCCGGCCUGAGAGGGUGACCGGCCACAUUGGGACUGAGAUACGGCCCAGACUCCUACGGGAGGCAGCAGUGGGGAAUAUUGCACAAUGGGCGGAAGCCUGAUGCAGCAACGCCGCGUGCGGGAUGACGGCCUUCGUGUUGUAAACCUCUUUCGCCUGUGACGAAGCGUGAGGGACGGUAAUGGGUAAAGAAGCACCGGCUAACUACGUG
rnacentral:rRNA from 1 species